rnacentral:rRNA from 1 species
AGUGAACGCUGGCGGUAGGCCUAACACAUGCAAGUCGAACGGCAGCACAGUAAGAGCUUGCUCUUACGGGUGGCGAGUGGCGGACGGGUGAGGAAUACAUCGGAAUCUACUUUUUCGUGGGGGUUCACGUAGGGAAACUUACGCUAAUAUCGCAUACGACCUACGGGUGAAAGCAGGGGAUCUUCGGACCUGUCGCGAUUGAAUGAGCCGAUGUCGGAUUAGCUAGUUGGGGGGGUAAAGGCCCACCAAGGGGACGAUCCGUAGCUGGUCUGGGAGGAUGGUCGGCCACACUGGAACGGGACCACGGUCCAGGCUCCUACGAGAGGCAGCAGUGGGGAAUAUUGGACAAUAGUGGCAAGCCUGAUCCAGCCAUACCGCGUGGGUGAAGAAGGCCUUCGGGUUGUAAAGCCCUUUUGUUGGGAAAGAAAAGCAGCAGGUUAAUACCCCGCUGUUCUGACGGUACCCAAAGAAUAAGCACCGGCUAACUUCGUG